rnacentral:lncRNA from 1 species
AUAGGGUUCUAAAUUUCUAAUUCUAUCCUAUUUAUUUAUUGUUGUACUAUAAUUAUCUUUUAUAAACUAAAACAUAUGGUGCAAAUUAAUUCUUUUUAGUUGUACUAUAUAUUUUAUAUAUUUGACAUAUCAAAAAAAAUUUGAUGGACCCUUAUCCUUUUGCUUGCACAAGGGCUCUCAAAAUUAUAGAGACGGCCCUGCUAUUAAUCUAGGGGUCUGUCGUCUUUCAAAAUCUUUUUAGUAGUUGAGUGUGGGAUAGCAGCAUGACGUGCCUCAUC